rnacentral:lncRNA from 1 species
CUGUUACAGUCUACUAUGUUCCUCAUGCACCUUCCACUCAGCACAAACAGGCUGCACUGCCUCUGAAACGCAUCACUUGAAUCCUGCCUCUGCUCCUUUGUCCAUCUGAAUCACCCUCUCCACAUUUCUGACCCAGUAAUCCUAAUCUCACUUUAUGAGGCAGUUCGCUUCCCUUUUGCAUUUCCCUGGGGUACACUGUCAAUAGCCUAGUGUCUGAUGUCAUCAGUCAGCACUUCAUCAGAGGCAAUUAUGUCUACAGAGCUUUUGGCUAAUUACUGUCACUCCUUACAUGUGUGCAUAUGCAUAUCAUCUUUCCCUAAUGAGACUGGAAAUAAUGAUUCAUUCCCUGGAGCAGUGGUUUCCAUAAAUGACCAACCCACAGACCAGUGCAAACUGGCUGUGAAAGAGCUUCCUCUGAGGAACUUAUUAGAAUGCAGAUUCUUGGACUGCAUGGGAGAGGAGGAUCUCAUAAAUCUGGGUGUAAUAGGCACAGAACAUUAG